rnacentral:rRNA from 1 species
UACGUAGGGCGCAAGCGUUGUCCGGAAUUAUUGGGCGUAAAGAGCUCGUAGGUGGCGUGUCGCGUCUGCCGUGAAAGCCCAUGGCUUAACUGUGGGUCUGCGGUGGAUACGGGCAGGCUGGAGGCUGGUAGGGGCAAGCGGAAUUCCUGGUGUAGCGGUGAAAUGCGCAGAUAUCAGGAGGAACACCGGUGGCGAAGGCGGCUUGCUGGGCCAGUUCUGACGCUGAGGAGCGAAAACGUGGGGAGCGAACAGG